rnacentral:rRNA from 1 species
UACGAAGGGGGCUAGCGUUGUUCGGAAUUAUUGGGCGUAAAGCGCACGUAGGCGGCCCGUUAAGUCCCUUGGUGAAAGGCCGGGGCUCAACCCCGAGCAUGCCGGGGAUACUGGGGGGCUGGAGACAGGUAGAGGCCAGCGGAAUUCCGGGUGUAGCGGUGGAAUGCGUAGAGAUCCGGAAGAACACCGGAGGCGAAGGCGGCUGGCUGGACCUGAUCUGACGCUGAGGUGCGAAAGCGUGGGGAGCGAACAGG